rnacentral:misc_RNA from 1 species
UGAGGGUCAGCACACACCACCUAUACCAGUAAUUACUGGGUUUUAGUCAAAAUUACAAAUGAGCCAUCCAGACCCAGCAUCGCGCAGUUCAAAUCUCACCAAGAAGCAGCAGCAGCAAAGCCAAAAUCCACCCGUCCUGAAUAUUAUUUCCACGCGGUACUGUUUUGAAUCCCUGGAGGCACUUGUCGAUGCCAGUUGUCGAGAAACA